AUGGAAAAGGAACAGUUUCUGAAAAGAUUAGACAUGAGCCUGUCAAGGCCUGUUCUGACUCAGCCACUUUCUGCAUCUGCCUCCCUGGGACAAGCAGUCACACUUACCUGCACCCUGAACAGUGGCUACAGCAACUACUAUGUAGACUGGUACCAGGAGAGCCCAGGGAAGGGCCCCAGGUUUGUGAUGCAAAACCUCCAGGAAGAUGACGAGAGUGACUACCACUGUGAAGUGGACCAUGGAAGUGGGAGCAGCUUUGGCUAA